rnacentral:rRNA from 1 species
AACGAACGCUGGCGGCGUGCCUAAUACAUGCAAGUCGAGCGAGACUCUUCGGAGUCUAGCGGCGGACGGGUGAGUAACACGUGGGCAACCUGCCUGUAAGACUGGGAUAACACCGGGAAACCGGUGCUAAUACCGGAUAAUCCUUUUUCUCUCAUGAGGAAAAGCUGAAAGUCGGUUUCGGCUGACACUUACAGAUGGGCCCGCGGCGCAUUAGCUAGUUGGUGAGGUAACGGCUCACCAAGGCGACGAUGCGUAGCCGACCUGAGAGGGUGAUCGGCCACACUGGGACUGAGACACGGGCCAGACUCCUACGGGAGGCAGCAGUAGGGAAUCUUCCACAAUGGACGAAAGUCUGAUGGAGCAACGCCGCGUGAGCGAUGAAGGCCUUCGGGUCGUAAAGCUCUGUUGUUAGGGAAGAACAAGUACCGGAGUAACUGCCGGUACCUUGACGGUACCUAACCAGAAAGCCACGGCUAACUACGUGCCAGCCGCCGCAGUAACAC